AAGACUGCUGCUCACAAGGACCUAGAGUAAGGUGACUUAAGCCCAGAGAGCCUUCAUCAAACAAAAGCUGCACGGAGAACGGAGAGAAGGGUUCACGGCCUCUACAUGAAAUGAUACCCAGCAUUUAUUCAGCUUUUACUGAUUUGCAGGCACAGUUCUAACUGCAUUAUAUGGAUCAUCUCAUUUAAUCCUGGCAACAACUCAAUGAUGAUGAAGGUCACAUCCAUAUUAAUUGCCCUUAUAGUGAAGCCUUCCUGGAGGCCACCUGUCAGCACAUCUGGAGCUCAUGUUGCUGCUGCUUCCAACACGGCACCAUUUCCAUCUCUACUCUGACUUCAAAGACCCAUCAAGGUUGAUGAUAUUUAAUGCAUGUGAUGUGGGGAAGAAGAAAUAGUCCUUGGUGAAAUAAGUGUGGGAAAUAGGAUAUUCAAUCAUCAGGUGCAGACCCUGGAGACUCCAGUGGGUUUCAUCACUCAGGAGAGCCACAUCCUCUCCUCAGCAGAGACACACCCAUCAGAAGCCUUGAGAAAACCUCUCCCCCAAACUGGAGAAGAGGUCAUGACCACACUAUUUUUUUUUUUAAUUUUUUUUUUCAACGUUUAUUUAUUUUUGGGACUGAAAGAGACAGAGCAUGAACGGGGGAGGGGCAGAGAGAGAGGGAGACACAGAAUCGGAAACAGGCUCCAGGCUCUGAGCCAUCAGCCCAGAGCCUGAUGUGGGGCUCAAACUCCCGGACCAAGAGAUCGUGACCUGGCUGAAGUCGGACGCUUAACCGACUGCGCCACCCAGGCGCCCCGGUGACCACACUAUUUUUAAUAUCAGUGGCCAGAGAUUAAUUUUAAAUGAAGUAUAAAUCAUCCUGCUUUUAUUAUUCAACUCUAAAGGUAGAGAUUUUAAAGAAUUGCAGGCUUUGAAGAAGGUGCCAUAUGCAAAGCUAACAGAAACGUUCAGAAUUUUCAGAAAAAGCCUUAGAAUGAUCCUUUUUAAUUCAUGUGAG
rnacentral:lncRNA from 1 species